UUACGGCCACAUCAUGUUGAAACGCCAGUUCACGUAUGAUCAUCGAAGUUAAGAAACAUCAAGCCUGGUCAGUAUCUAGAUGGGUCACCACUUGGGAAUACCAUGAGC